GUCAAAAUAAAAACAACAACCCAAUAACACCUCCCCCCCCCACAAAACCACAUUUUAAAAGGGCAUAGGAUGUCAAUCAAAUCAACCAAAGGAUUUAUUAUUUCACAAGAGGGGGAGAAAAGGAGCAAUAUGGGUAAUUCAAAUAGAUUUACGGUGAGUCCCUAAACUAAAGUAAAAAAGUGGGGGGAGGAAUGUGUGUUGUAAUUUAUUUAUCUAUAGAGUCUCUCAGAGCUGUCUCUGGCUACACAGUCCUGGGCUGGGGCGCAGCUUGUAGGCCUCAGUCUCUGUUGCUCCCUGACUGUGGAGUUGCUACUGUUAAAUUAACACUAUAUUUGGGGGGGGGGAUUGCUGUCAUAUCCUGUUCGUGGUUCUUUUUAUUCACUCUCUCUAUAGUUUCUUUUUCUCCCCCUGGAGCUUCAGCUACCCCCUCCCUGAAGCUCUUCAACCAAUUUACCUCAGGAUUUCCUCAGAACUCCCUCGCAAUCUCCUCAGAAACCACCUUUCAGCUCCCUACCACAACCUAAGUGCACCCCACACACACACACACAAAGGAUGCUCUCCGGGCCUCCCACUGGAUGUUGCACUUUUACAAGACAGCACGUUAUUCCGCCGGGUUUGGACAUUUUGAUUCUUCCUUCUUUCACCUGCUCCCUUUCCUCUAUUGGAAUCUGUUCUGAGGGAGAGUUGAAUGGACAUUGUGGUAGGUGUCUUCACAGGCGAAGGCACGAAAAGUGUCAGAGACUCCCUUCUGCCAAUGAGGAUCUUUUGAUUUCUGCCAAAUCCCACCCCCAGCUGCAGCCCCCUGUGCCACAACCCAUAGAGUCCCUCCAGGAAGUCCCCUAACCCAUAGGAGUGCUUUUCAAGGCACACAGGACUGUAGUGGAAACAAGAUGCAAUGCCUCCUUGUGUGAGAGCAACUCCACUCACAGCUUUCUGCAUACUAUUGAACAGCUGGGUGAUGAACUGGGGAGUCCAGUAUAAAUGGAAAGUAUUUGGGAUGGGGGAUUCCCCCAUUCCCUGGAACCCGCUUUCGGUUUCGUCAUCCCGCAGACCUGGCCCGGAACCAGUUUUGCUUGUGAGGAUUUAUGAGGCCAUUUUCCCAAAGUCUCUUAAGCACUUUUUUGAGCUAAUUUACUCUCCCCCACUCACUCCCCACCCUAUAAACCCAUCAUCAAAUUCUUCAGUGGUGCUUGCUGCUUCUAAUUUGCUUAUUUUGAUGAACAGAAAAAUGCAAAACAGCCAGCAGCUUCUCAUUUGCCCAAAAAGGAAAGCAGAGGAAGUCUGUACAACAAACACACAGGAAGGGUGGCUAAUGAUAUAGGAGCAUCACAUACGCGGCAAUAUGGGAGCAUUCUUCUCUUGAUGCAUGAGAGACUUUAGCACGUGCAUUGGAUUAAUGGAUGGGAGACAAAGAAAAGGGCCUUGAAUUAACCACAAAAGCAAUCUAUGGAUGGCAAGUAUCUCUAUAAAGUGAAUAUAUAGCAUAUUAAUCAUAAAGCAAGCAGCUGAAUGCAUGUAAAUUAGAAAAAAAGGCUUGUAUAUAGGAUACAGGGCAUGCAGAGUAUGUCAAAGGAUGCCUGAAUUUCUGCGGGAUUUGCAUACAGAGGGUGAAAAAUAUUGCUUUUUUUUAAAAAAAACAAAGUAGUUCAAAUAAGCAGGUCUUUAUAGUAAUUUAAAGUAGAAUGGAAACCAAUUUUUGAUCAUAUACACGAUGAUAAAGAAUAUCGCAAUAUGCUUUGUCUUGAUUCCAGUCUUCUGACCUUAAUCAUAAAGAAUAUGUUUUAUUCCCAGAUGUUAUUACCAUUGUUCUAUUGGGAUGGGGGGGAUAUUUCACAAAAUGUCUGUUUCACUCUGCUGUCCAUAGCCUGCUAUCAUAGAUAUUUGUCUGAGCAAAUCUCUCAAACAUUCAGUUAUGUUCUGCCUUCUCCAAGAAGUGGGAAGGUCGUCAUCUACCAUGUAAAUUGCCUUUGUAAGAAAGGGCACUGGGACAUUACCUUUGGAAUAAUCUGUUCUCUUACAAAUGCACAGGUUGUCCAGGCGUUCUUGGAGCACAGAAGCUCUGCUAAUCCUAAAGCAACAUCAGACCAACACGCCAAAAUUCCUGGCAAAUUCAAUAGCCAAUAGAAAAUUACUCUGUUUGACAGGAUGCAAACAGAACGUGUACGGUGAGCAUUCUUAUGUCCAUUUGUUUCUUUGACCUCUACUAGAUUAGGGUGUUUUAAAACAGAAUAUUACGCUGUACAGCCUCUAUCCAGAGUAUAUUGCCAUUUUUCACAUCCUCGUUCCAUUUGGAAGCUAUCAAACGUCUUUUUUUUAAAAAGUCCUUUGUUGUCAUCGUCAUUGUAAAUACAUUUUUUGUAUUUUGCCAAAGUUUCUUUGCUUCACCCCACUGCCCACAGUCUGCCAUCAUGGCUACUGGUCUGGAACAAAGCUCUCAAACAUACUGAAAACUGGCAAGAGGAACUAUGCAAAGCAGAACAAAACAGUAAAUCAGCCAUUAAGCAGAGAGUGGGGGAAAACAAAAUAAUGUUGAAAAUCUUGGGAGAAUAAUAUUUACUUCAGGCAGACUCUUUCUUAAACUCAUGAAGCUUCUUUAUCUUAAGGGUUAGAUGUGCAGGGUUUGGUUUAUGAGAGACCUAUGAUUAAAUCCUGGCUCAGCCAUGAAACGCAUUGUCUGGCCUUGAGUAUAUCUACAGUUGCCAUAUUUCAAAAAGUAAAAUCCCUGACCCCCAAAGUUGCUGAGCUUUGGAGUUGUUUCCACUGUUUUUCCCAUCGUGUUACAUCUGGGUUUUCCCUGACAUUUUGCCGAUUCGGCAACAUUCCCCCCAACGCCAUUUUUACACCCCAAAAACAAGACAUGUCAGGAAUUUUCCUGAUGUAUGGCAAGCCUAGUAUAUCACUCUUUCCCCCAACCAG